rnacentral:rRNA from 1 species
GACGAACGCUGGCGGCGUGCUUAACACAUGCAAGUCGAACGGUUAAGGGACCGUUUUUUGCUGGUUCUGGAUGAGUGGCGUACGUGUGAGUAACACGUGAGUAACCUGCCCCCUUCUUCUGGAUAACCGCAUGCAAGUGUGGCUCAUACGUGAUAUUCUGCGCCUUCUGCAUGGUUGGUGUGGGACAGAUAUUGUUUCGGUUGGGUCUGGGCUGGCGGCCUAUCAGCUUGUUGGUGGGGUGAUGGCCUACCAAGGCGGUGACGGGUAGCCGGCCUGGGAGGGUGGACGGUCACAGUGGGAAGGAGACACGGACCAGACUCCUACGGGAGGCAGCAGGGGGGAAUAGUGCACAAGGGGAGGAAGCCUGAAGCAGCGACGCCGCGGGAGGGAUGGAGGCCUUCGGGUUGUAAACCUCUUUCGCCAGUGAAGCAGGGCUGUCCAUUUUGUGGGUGGGUUGACGGUAGCUGGAUAAGAAGCGCCGGCUAACUACGUG